rnacentral:tRNA from 1 species
GACUGCGUACUUUAUUAUAAAAGAACUAGUUUGCAACUAGUAAUAGAGUUAAUACUCCGCAGCCC